CAAUGCGCACCUUGUGUAAUAUCUUGAUACAACUUGUAACAUCGAUGCUACGUGACAGUGAAGUCAGCUUGCUAUGGAACGCUCAAAAGUAAGCUGUCUCGAAUCGAA